UACGUAGGGGGCAAGCGUUGUCCGGAUUUAUUGGGCGUAAAGCGCUCGCAGGCGGUUUGUCGCGUCGUGCGUGAAAGACCCCGGCUCAACUGGGGAGGGUCGUGCGAUACGGGCGAACUGGAGGCCAGUAGGGGGAUGCGGAAUUCCGGGUGUAGUGGUGGAAUGCGUAGAGAUCCGGAGGAACACCAGCGGCGAAGGCGGCAUCCUGGACUGGUCCUGACACUCAGGAGCGAAAGCGUGGGGAGCGAUCCGG
rnacentral:rRNA from 1 species